AAAUACUCGUCUGUCUCACUGAAUCACCAGUGUUUUCUUGACUUCAGCAUUGGUGUGUACUGCUGUAUUUGUAGAGCUGCCUUUAACAGAGUUAUAGUUGAUUCUUUAUUGUUUAUUGAGUGUUUUAUAGUUUAUUAAUGUGUUUUGUAUCAUGUUAAAGCAUUCUUUCAUGUUUUUCAUUGAUAACAGCUCAACCUUUACUCUCCACUGCGAUAGAUCUUAGGUAGGUGUUCAUUUCUGUUUACUUUGUAAACUAUUCAAGUUUUUACAAAAAAAAAUCUUGUUGCAGAUAUACUGAUAAAUCAACACCUCCUCAUCUCCAUUAUGAAUCUUCUUCUUCAUCUGCUGAUGCUGUCGCUUCUCUCUGCUGGAUCAGCCAGAGUUGUGCAGGAUUUUGAGAAGAGCUGUGGUCAAUUUUUUGCAAAAGGAAAAUCUCCAAAAGGAUUUACUGGAGCGCAGUACAGGCAGAUCUGCCAAACUCUAGAUAAUGCUGUUCAUUUCGCCACACUUUAUGACACUUACAACAAGAUCCCUGUGUACUCGGCCUAUGUGUUUGAAGGGCUAAUGGGCUGCACAAGACUAAACAGCUGGUACAUUGAACCUCAGCUUGAUGAUAAUAAUGGAGGAGCAAACAUGGCAUUUUCGAGCACCGUGAAAGAAAAUUAUCGAGGAGUUCAUCAAGCUCUCGAUAAAGACUAUGAUAAAUCUGGCUAUGACAGAGGUCAUCUGGCUCCAGUUUACCAUGCAAACUCUCAGAGCUGUGCUGACGCCACCUUCACUCUCACCAAUGCUGCUCCACAAGAGCCCAAUUUUAACCGAGGUACAUGGAAGGCACUAGAGGGACAAAUUGCCAAUGAUCUGUUCAAGACAUGCACAAAAAAAGGCUGUCGUGUUUAUGUUGUGACAGGGGUGGUACCAGGUAAUGGACAACCAGUGAAUAACAGAGUGAAUGUACCUAGUUAUUUCUGGACCGCUUUCUGCUGCUUAAACAAGAAUGUGUGUCAGUUCUCUGAGGGAGCCAUUGGAACCAAUGACAAUAAUGGCAAUAUUAUGCCAUUGAGUGUGGCUGGUUUACAGAAUAAGUUACAACAGUUUUAUGGAAAGGCUAUUACAUUGUUUCAGUAGGCUAACGAUAACAAAACCAGACACCGUUUGUUUCUAAUAAAUCCUCACUGAGUGAUUAAACAUGGCAAACCUAUGUGAAAUUGUGUCUUUUAAUGCAGAUUAGUACAAUUUGAUCAAAACUGUAAUCACUAUAAUUGAAUUAUAGAACAUUUAAGCUGUUUUAUUUAAAAGGGAUGCAAAUGUAUCUGUAAUGAAGUGUAUCAUGUACUUAAUCAAGAAUGAUGAUGAUUACCCUGUGAUAUUAUAAUGAAAACAAUACUGAUUUUACUGUAAAAUCUUUUAAGCUCUAAUAAAGAUCUUUAUUGAGGCAAAACCUGC
rnacentral:lncRNA from 1 species